CGGGACAAUUAUUUCAUUAGCCCAUAAAGCACACUUUGGUGUGCUUUAUGGGCUAAUGAAAAACUAACCGUUUGCGGUUAGUUUUUCUGGAUUUAACGGUGGCUUAACAUACACUUGAAUCAACCUCGACCUUACAGAGUCAGUAGUAAUCUUUUCUGAUGAGUUUUCAACUACUACUACUUAACAUGAUAACUGCAAGGAAGUGAUUUUCCAGUCCCGCACCUAUAUUAUGCAGCUGUUGACUAACAUCAGUAAUCUUAUUUAAGUAAUAUUUCAUGUCCGGAAAUGAUUCAAGUUAAAUGCAAACAGCGUGCGUAGCAGGCCUAAUCGCCACGUUAGGCUUCUUCCUUCGUAUACGUUUUUUAGGUUUUGAUUUACUCACUGUCAAAGUAAAUAUGUGUAUGGCUUCAGGAUUGUCUGAUAUAAAUGCCUUUUUACAGUCUGUACAUUGUCUGAAUUGGAAUCUUUUAAAAAUAAAGACACACACAUAUCCACAAGCCUGUCCUUCAGGCGUUGCCUGCUCUACUGCUUCGGCUGCAUCAGUUAAAUCUAUUUGUAAGUGAUUGGCAUCAUAAUUCACAAAUUUGGUAAUGUGUAUGGAACUUCAGUCUUUUUGUUGGCGAGAAGGUUGUCUACCUAUACAUAUACACAUGAAUUGAGUAGAAUUGCUUAUACGGUUCCGAAGUUUUGAAAAUUCCAUCUAAAAAUAUAUCAGUAAUGUCCCGGCUAGUUAAUAUGUCACGCGCAAAUGGCGUCAUAAAUAAAGGGUGUUUUUUUUUUAAAUUGACAUGAAAUUGAAUUUGAAACUUCUGGCAUUUUAAUUUAAUGGCAUAUGACCGCCACGGCUGGCUCGGACGAAGUCUAAUCUGGAGGUCCAAUUUUCAAUGACUUUUUCUAACAUUUGUGGCCGAAUAUCGGCAAUAACGCGGUGAAUGUUGUCCUCCAAGUGGUCAAUCGUUUCAGGCUUAUCGGCGUAGACUAACGACUUCACAUAUCCCCGAAAAUAGUCUAGCAGCAUUAAAUCGCCAAUCUUGGAGGCCAAUUUUAUGGGUCCGAAACGUGAAACUAUGCGGUUACCAAACGUUUCCUUCAAUAAAUCAAUUGUGGCACUAGCUGUGUGACAUGUUGCGCCGACUUGUUGAAACCACAGCUCCUUGACAUCAUAGUUGUUCAAUUGACAAACAAAAAAGUCAGUAAUCAUGGCUCUAUAGCGCGGUCACCAUUAACUGUUAUGUUCUGGCCAGCAUCGUUUUUAAAGAAGUACGGGCCAAUUAUUCCAUUAGCCCAUAAAGCACACCAAACGGUUAGUUUUUCUGGAUUUAACGGUGGCUUAACAUGCACUUGAGGAUUCUCAUCACUCCAAAUACGGCAGUUCUGUUUAUUGAAGUACCCAUUCAACCAAAAGUAGGUUUCAUCGCUAAACAAAAUUCACUUAGGAAAAUCGGGAUCAACGGCAAUCUUGUCUUGGGCCCAUUAUCUACGCCUUGCUAGGUUGGAAUUUGUAAGCACGCAAACCAAGAUCUUUCCUUGAAAUUUUUCACAAAGUGGAUGGACACAUAUCCAAUUCCUGUGCACGAUGGCGGAUAGACUGAUUCGAGUCUUCUUCUAUGCUACGCUCUAUAGAACUAAUGGCUUCUGUACGCACUGUAGUACGUCUCAUUUAGACUAUACGUGGUGUGAAAACGUUUUACAGUUAAUCGAAUUAAUUGUUCUGAUGGACGAUUGUGUUGACCGUAAAAUGGACAUAGUGCGCGAUACGUUUUUCGUACAGAAUCAUGACUUUCAAAAAAAAUUUGCACAAUUUGGAACGGUUUUUGAGGCGUCAGUCUAUUCAUUUUGAAAUGCCGAACCAAACUGAACAUAAAUCACUUGAGAGCUGACAAAAUAUUUUUUUAAGUCCUUUACCACAAGAUUUUAUGUAUGGUUAAUCCUUUCUCCUAUCUCAGCAGUGUCUUCUUCCGAAGGUAUAGUUUUCAAUUGUGGAAAGGAUUGCCGAGGUUGUGUUGAAUUUGCCGGACUUACAAUACUAAUUCCUUCAAGAUAAAGGUUCCUUCUCCUGCCAAAGUUGCUGUUAAAAUCUGCAUUUUCAAAGACUAACUGGACAAAUGGAUUGCCACUCAGCAAAACUUAGCAGAAUCUUGAUUAAGUCCUGAAGAUCAUAUAAUUUUGCUUCAUGAUAAGAUGCACAAAAACCUAAAGCAUGACAUACAUCUAUGAUUUUCCUCUACUUGCAUAACUGUUAGAGUUUUCGAAAAAGCCUUUGACCGUGUCGAUCAUGUAAUCUUAUUACAAAAACUGAGCACUUUAGGGAUAAACGGAAGUCUCUACCGGUGGUUAACAUCUUACAUUAAAAAUCGCAUGCAAACAGUGGUAUUGGGAUGCGCCAAGAGUAAUUUUGUAUCAAUACCCUCAGGGGUAUCCCGAGGAUCUAUUUUAGGUCCCCUUUUGUAUAACGCUUACCUGUUUGACAUAGGAAACAGCUUUGCUCACGCCCAACACUUGAUAUUUGCAGAUGAUAAAAAAUUCUCAAAAAAAACGCAGCCAGGAUGAUUGUCAUAAGUUACAACAAGAUCUUGAUGCCUUAACUGAAUAUUACUCCAGAAACAGAAUCAUUGUUAAUGUUAAUAAAUGUCAUCACAUAACUCUUGAGUCGUAAAAUAAACUCAAUAACAUUCGACUAUAAUAAUAAUAACAUGCAAAUUAUUAAGGUUAAUGCUGUUAGAGUCUUAGGCAUAAGCGUUGAUAGUUAACUCUCUAUGAAUGAUCAUGUUGAUGUAGUAGUAACGAGUAGUCAUAACGAGCAACACGCAACUUUAAUAAUAUUGAAACCAUAAAAACACUAUACUUUGCGUAUGUCCGAAGUAUCCUUGAAUACGCUAGUUACAUCUGGUCGCCCUACUAUGUCGUACACACACAACGGGUUGAGUCCAUCCAGAAACAAUUCCUUAAAUAUUUGGCAUUCAAGGAAUUUAUAAUAUUUUAUAGUUAUGAGGAUGCUUGCAGGCAUUACAAAAUUGACACACUAGAAAUGCGAAGAAACUUGAGCGAUAUGUUACUGCUUCAAGCAAUUUUAACAGGCAGACUGGAUUGCCCUUCCUUAUUGUAAUUUUUUUCUAUUAACGCUUCAUCUUUUAGACCACUACGUCGACACACAGCGUUACUGAGUGUUCCCAAAUGUAAUACUAUAUAUGCCCAAAAUUCUAUAGUAUUACGUCUGGCACGAACAUAUAUAAAAUAAAGUUUAUUUUACCUAUCUAAAACACAACUAAAAAAAGAAGUUAUCAAAUCUCUUAAAAGAUUUGGAACUGAUGUAUGUCGGUGAUGGAGUAGUGUUGGAGUAUUUAUCUGCUGGUUAUGUGGCAGCUUCUUAGGUUAAAGUUCAGAAUUGGGCUGUUGAGAAUAAUUUAUAAAACAGCGAGGCGAUGGCGUGCUGCUGUAAUUUGUUAGAGUUGGCGUGGAUCUAAUAUAUAUCGGAGAUGGAGUUAUUGUUACUGUUGGAGUAUUUAUUUUAACCGAAUUGCGAUGUAAAAAACCUAAUUGUCCUUCCAUGAUAAUGGCAGCAAUAGCGCUCUUAGCAAAGAUUUGUCGUGUUGGUUCCAUUUUCUUUAAAUCUGCAGCACAAGACAAAACCCAGUUUUCAUAUUCAUCUGGUUUCUGUCUAAGACAGUCAGCUGUCAACUGCAUAAGGCCAUCUUCAGAUUUUCUCUUUAUUUUUUCAUCUUUUGUCUUCGAAACUGCAUAGGAUGUAGAUGCCACUUUAUCAACUUCAACCGUUGAACUAUUUUCCUGAAAAAUAAAAACCAUUUGUUAUUUUGUUUCAGCUACCGCAAACUGCCGAGGAAUAGAAACAAGUUGCCAAGGAUUUUGAGAGCCAUUGAAAUGCUCCUCAUGUAAUCGAUGCUAUAAAUGGCAAACACGUGGACUUAAAGAACCAGGAGGUUUAUUGGAUCAUACUACUAUAACUACAAAAAAAAACAUUCAGUAUUGUGUUGAUAGCAGUUGUAAAUGCGAGUUCAUUAUGGUUGAUGCAGGGAGUAAUUCACGUGUAUCAGAUGUGCUGCAGAAUACAACAUUUGGACAGCAAUUAAAAAAAUAAUGCUUUAAAUAUCCCACCACCUGCAUUGUGGCCUGGAAGUUUCCCAAAAACUCCCAUACUUUUGUGUUGGAGAUGAUGCCUUUCCAAUGUCUCAAAAUUUACUGAAACCAUAUAGCCAAACUGAAACUUUGGAAACAUCUCUUUAUAUUUAAAAAACAAUGAUUCGUAAUCAGGUGUUUUUAUAUCGGUCAUGAUAUUCUUUGCUCUUGACAUUCCACAAAGACGACAAUUCUCUCUACAAUUGGAUAUAUUCGAUGAUAAACUCUGCCAUUUUUGGGAACCGACACGCGUGUGUUCUCCUUGCUGACGAAA
rnacentral:lncRNA from 1 species